rnacentral:rRNA from 1 species
GACAGAGGUUGCAGACGUUGUUCGGAAUCACUGGGCAUAAAGCGCACGUAGGUGGCGCUGUAAGUGGGGUGUGAAAUCCCGGGGCUUAACUCCGGAACUGCAUUCCAUACUGCGGUGCUUGAGGACUGGAGAGGAGACUGGAAUUUACGGUGUAGCAGUGAAAUGCGUAGAGAUCGUAAGGAAGACCAGUGGCGAAGGCGGGUCUCUGGACAGUUCCUGACACUGAGGCACGAAGGCCAGGGGAGCAAACGGG